rnacentral:rRNA from 1 species
UACGGGGGAUGCAAGCGUUAUCCGGAUUUAUUGGGUUUAAAGGGUGCGUAGGCGGAUUGAUAAGUUAGAGGUGAAAUGUCCGAGCUUAACUCGGGAACUGCCUCUAAUACUGUUGAUCUAGAGAGUAGAUGCGGUAGGCGGAAUGUAUGGUGUAGCGGUGAAAUGCUUAGAGAUCAUACAGAACACCGAUUGCGAAGGCAGCUUACCAAUCUAUAUCUGACGUUGAGGCACGAAAGCGUGGGGAGCAAACAGG